UGUUCAGUUAGGAUAGUCCUUACCUGUUUCUCCUUCAGGAAGGCAGAUUAGAACAAAGUGGCUGCAGUUCUCAUGAUUCAUGAUUAGUGUCUCUGAGUAAAAAGGAAAAACAAAACAAAAAAAUAGUGGACACAGUGACAAAGUGAAGCCUGAG